rnacentral:rRNA from 1 species
UGCUGGAGGUUGCUGCUAUCUGAGUUCGACUAAGCCAUGCAAGUCAGGUCGUAAGACCGGCGAAAUGCUCAGUAACACGUAGUUAACCUACCAUAUGGUGGAGAAUAACCUCGGAAACCUGAGGAUAAUGCUCCAUAGGGAAUGCAUUCUGGAAGGACGCAUUCUUUAAACGUAAGGUCAUAUGAUGGGACUGCGGCGGAUUAGGUUGUUGGCAGGGUAAUGGCCUACCAAGCCUUCGAUCCGUACGGGCCUUGAAAGAGGGAACCCGGAGAGGGACACUGAGAUACUGGUCCCAGCCCUACGGGGUGCAGCAGGCGCGAAACCUUUACAAUGCACGAAAGUGUGAUAGGGGGACUCAGAGUGCUCAUGCAUAGCAUGGGCUUUUGCCAAGUCAAAACUGCUUGGCGAAUAAGUGGUGGGAAAGACUGGUGCCAGCCGCCGCGGUAACACCAGCGCCACGAGUGGGAGCCACUAUUAUUGGGCCUAAAGCGUCCGUAGCAGGCCUGUUAAAUUACUUGUGAAAUCGGAUGGCCUAACCAUCCGGAAUGCAGGUAAGACUGAUAGGCUAGAGACCGGAAGAAGUUGGAGGUAUUCAAGGGGGAGCGGUAAAAUGCGAGAAUCCCUUGAGGACCACCUGUUGCGAAGGCGUCCAACAAUGACGGGUCUGACUGUGAGGGACGAAAGCCAGGGGAGCGAACCGGAUUAGAU